rnacentral:rRNA from 1 species
UGGGCAACCUGCCCUCAGCUCUGGGAUAACUCCGGGAAACCGGGGCUAAUACCGGAUAUGACCAUCCCUGGCAUCUGGGGUGGUGGAAAGUUCUUCGGCUGAGGAUGGGCCCGCGGCCUAUCAGCUUGUUGGUGGGGUUACGGCCCACCAAGGCGACGACGGGUAGCCGGCCUGAGAGGGCGACCGGCCACACUGGGACUGAGACACGGCCCAGACUCCUACGGGAGGCA